rnacentral:rRNA from 1 species
UACGGAGGGCGCAAGCGUUGUUCGGAAUCAUUGGGCGUAAAGCGCGUGCAGGCGGCUUGGUAAGUCGGAUGUGAAAGCCCGGGGCUCAACCCCGGAACUGCACCCGAUACUGCCUCGCUAGAGUCCCGGAGAGGAUGGCGGAAUUUCCGGUGUAGAGGUGAAAUUCGUAGAUAUCGGAAGGAACACCAGCGGCGAAGGCGGCCAUCUGGACGGUGACUGACGCUCAGACGCGAAAGCGUGGGGAGCAAACAGG